rnacentral:rRNA from 1 species
GACGAACGCUGGCGGCGUGCUUAACACAUGCAAGUCGAACGGAAAGGCCCUGUUUUUCUUGGGGGCUCGUGUGGCGAAUGGGUGAGUAACACGUGAGCAACCUGCCCUUGACUUUGGGAUAACUUCAGGAAACUGUGGCUAAUACCGGAUAGGAGCUCCUGCUGCAUGGUGGGGGUAGGAAAGUUUCGGCGGUUGUGGAUGGACUCGCGGGUUAUCAGCUUGUUGGUGGUGUAGUGGCUUACCGAGGCUUUGAACGAUAGUCGGCCUGAGAGGGUGGCCGGGCACAAGUGUCCUGAGAGACGGCACAGACUGGUAUGGGAGUCAGGAGUGGCAAAGAUGGCACAAUGGGCCGAAGCAUGAGGAUAUAACACCGCGUGCGGGAUGACGGCCUUUGGGGUGAGAACCGCUUUGGCCUGUGACGAAGCGGGAGUGACGGUAAUGGGUAAAGAAGCACCGGCUAACUACGUG